UCGUGACUGCGUGCCUUUUGAAGAAUGAGCCUGCGAGUUUGCGGUGUGUUGCGAGGUUAACCCGUGUGGGGAAGCCGUAGCGAAAGCGAGUCCGAAUAGGGCGAUUUAGUAGCGCGCUCAAGACCCGAAGCGGAGUGAUCUAGCCAUGGGCAGGUUGAAGCGGCUGUAAGAGGUCGUGGAGGACCGAACCCACCAGGGUUGAAAACCUGGGGGAUGACCUGUGGUUAGGGGUGAAAGGCCAAUCAAACUCCGUGAUAGCUGGUUCUCCCCGAAAUGCAUUUAGGUGCAGCGUCGUGUGUUUCUUGCCGGAGGUAGAGCACUGGAUAGGCGAUGGGCCCUACCGGGUUACUGACCUUAGCCAAACUCCGAAUGCCGGUAAGUGAGAGCGCGGCAGUGAGACUGUGGGGGAUAAGCUCCAUGGUCGAGAGGGAAACAGCCCAGAGCAUCGACUAAGGCCCCUAAGCGUACGCUAAGUGGGAAAGGAUGUGGAGUCGCAGAGACAACCAGGAGGUUGGCUUAGAAGCAGCCACCCUUGAAAGAGUGCGUAAUAGCUCACUGGUCUAGUGAUUCCGCGCCGACAAUGUAGCGGGGCUCAAGCGUACCGCCGAAGUCGUGUCAUUGCAGCAAUACGCCCAACGGCGGCUGUGAUGGGUAGGGGAGCGUCGUGUGCCGGGUGAAGCCGCGCCGGAAGGCAGUGGUGGACGGUUCACGAGUGAGAAUGCAGGCAUGAGUAGCGAUACACACGUGAGAAACGUGUGCGCCGAUUGACUAAGGGUUCCUGGGUCAAGCUGAUCUGCCCAGGGUAAGUCGGGACCUAAGGCGAGGCCGACAGGCGUAGUCGAUGGAUAACCGGUUGAUAUUCCGGUACCCGCUGUGAAGCGUCAAACAUUGAACCAGGCGAUGCUAAGUCCGUGAAGCCGCCCCGGAGCCUUCGGGCAAAGGGGAGUGGUGGAGCCGACGGACCAGACCUGCAGUAGGUGAGUGAUGGGGUGACGCAGGAAGGUAGUCCAUCCCGGGCGGUGGUUGUCCCGGGGUAAGGGUGUAGGCCGUGUGAUAGGUAAAUCCGUCGCACAUUAAGGCUGAGACCUGAUGCCGAGCCGAUUGUGGUGAAGUGGAUGAUCCUAUGCUGUCGAGAAAAGCCUCUAGCGAGUUUCAUGGCGGCCCGUACCCUAAACCGACUCAGGUGGUCAGGUAGAGAAUACCGAGGCGUUCGGGUGAACUAUGGUUAAGGAACUCGGCAAAAUGCCCCCGUAACUUCGGGAGAAGGGGGGCCAUCACCGGUGAUGAGUCUUGCACUCUGAGCUGGGGGUGGCCGCAGAGACCAGCGAGAAGCGACUGUUUACUAAAAACACAGGUCCGUGCGAAGCCGUAAGGCGAUGUAUACGGACUGACGCCUGCCCGGUGCUGGAACGUUAAGGGGACCGGUUAGUCACUCUUCGGGGUGGCGAAGCUGAGAACUUAAGCGCCAGUAAACGGCGGUGGUAACUAUAACCAUCCUAAGGUAGCGAAAUUCCUUGUCGGGUAAGUUCCGACCUGCACGAAUGGCGUAACGACUUCUCGACUGUCUCAACCAUAGGCCCGGUGAAAUUGCACUACGAGUAAAGAUGCUCGUUUCGCGCAGCAGGACGGAAAGACCCCGGGACCUUUACUACAGUUUGAUAUUGGUGUUCGGUUCGGCUUGUG
rnacentral:rRNA from 1 species